AGGGUUAGAACACAGCUUAAUCCGCUACCGCAACGGCAGCGGACGAGGGGAGCGCCACGCCGGCAGCGCCUCCCCGAAGGCAGGCCAGACCUGCCGGGCCCGGCACCCGGGCCAUGGGACAUAACAGUCAAC
rfam:Pseudomonas sp. FeS53a scaffold35.1, whole genome shotgun sequence.